rnacentral:tRNA from 1 species
CCUUUUGUAGCAUAAGUAAUGCGUAUAACUGUUAAUUAUAAGAUAUUUUAUAUUUUAAGGA